UACGUAGGGUGCGAGCGUUUGUCCGGAAUUAUUGGGCGUAAAGGGCUCGUAGGCGGUUUGUCGCGUCGGGAGUGAAAACUCAGGGCUUAACCCUGACGCCUGCUUCCGAUACGGGCAGACUAGGAGGUAGGCAGGGGGAGAGCGGAACUCCAGGUGUAGCGGUGAAAUGCGUAGAUAUCUGGAGGAACACCGGUGGCGAAGGCGGCAUCCUGGACCAAUUCUGACGCUGAGGAGCGAAAGCCAGGGGAGCAAACGGG
rnacentral:rRNA from 1 species